UCUGAUUUACGUUAUUGUAUAUCAGAUGUAUGAAAUGUACAGUGAUUUAAUGAACAGGUGUUUCAUAUCAUAGUCAUUUGCCAUACUGUGGAUUUUAAACACAUCAAGGGCUGGAAAUGACUGAAUAAAUUUCUUGCCUUUUUCCUUAGCUAAUAUUUCCCUCAUAUAUGUUUCCUCUCUUCUUGUGUGUUAACAGGUCAUUGGCACUGCUGUAUCACAACAUCAUUUGCUGUGCCUGGGAUAAUGAAGACAAUUUGGGUUGUCGUGUUACACGCCAGGUGAACAACAUCAGAGUGCGGCAGUCAGAGAUCCUAAAGAAGGACUCCAUAUGUUUAGUCGAGACAGUACGCCGUACAUCUCUUACGACGAGGAUAUUUGUUUCAGGACCGCUUUCCCGAUACUGACAAGGACAUUUAAGCAAUUAUGUGAGCUGCAGUCUGGAUCCUGCCUCUGUCAGAUGACCUAACACAAAUGGAAAGAUGACAUCGACCCUUGCAAGGACUUCAGACGAUCCCAGCACUGGACUACAUACAGUGGUAAUCAUAUUUUCAGUAGUCCGUGUCAAAUUUUCUUUCAAGUGUUUGGGUGAGAUCUAGACCGAGGACUAAGGCGUAUACUAGGACAGAACUAAGUGUUGUGGCCCACAGGUGAUCCUAAAGCAACAAAGAGGAACCAUGGAGAGGAAGAAGUGGUAUCCAGAUGUUUAAAAGGCGGUGUUCGGGACAGGAAACAAAGGCAACAAAGAGGAACCUCUAAGGUUUAAAGGCACUGCUUGCAGAGACGAGUGCAGAAAAUAAAGACAGAAGACCUGUCGAGAAUGUUUUAUGAUUAAAUGUUUUUGUUAUGUACAUGCACAUUAUUAUUUACAAUAUAUUUCUAAGAUACAUAAAUAUGUGACCUUGUAUAUGAAAUCCAGGCUACUGUCUUAAAAUCUAAUGACCUCUAAAGUUUGAAUUUACUGAUUUAACAUUGAGUUCAGUCUUUGGCAUGACCUUACUCAGUCAGUAUUGAAUAUGUCAAGAUUAUAUUUUCAGAGAAUGUUUUCUGAAUUGUGUAGGAUGAUUUUAUGUAGAAAACAGUAAGUCACAAAGAAAUACUUUGCUGGGUUUUCACAGGCGUGUCCCAUUUGUACAACAUAUGUGAAUUAUCUUGAGACUAAAACUUCUGAAAUCCAAACUGUUAUAUUUUAGCAUUUCAAAUGCAGCCACCCUUUGCCUAGAAUUUGAAAUAUAUACCCUUGGGUUUUUUCAGUAAUUUUUUGACAUCUCACCCUGAGAUAUUUUUUAAGAAAUUUCUAUGUAUUAUGGGCUUGAAUUACUUGUUUAUUUUAUCAUUUUGUCCAAGUAAUUUGAAAAAAGUUUUAAAUUAAAUUUUAGUUCUCAAUUGAAAUAAAUGUAUAUGUUGAGACUAUAUUUUUGUCCACAAACGUAAUUGAAUCAUAUACUUUAAGAGUAUUUUGAA